AAUGUGCCUACAGUCAUUUCCCAGCUUUCUGGAGGUGACAACUCUCGUGUUGAAGCAAUGAUGUGUGCCUGUCCUUACAGAUGCAAGCUGAGGGAUGUGCACAGACAGCCAUGCUGCUGGGAGAUUGGAGAAUCUCUCCAAGGAUAAUGUCUUGGAUUGGCACUCAUGCAGUCAGAUGGAUCUGCCCAUGGAGCUUUGGAGGAGCAGCACCAAGACUUCAGAAGAAAGAAAUCUGGAGGAUGAAGUAAAAAGCAGUGUGUGGCUUCUGUUAUUGGUAGUUUUGGUUUUGGAUAUUUUUUUGCUUGUUUUUUGUUUUGUUUUGCUUUGUUUUGUUUUUCUUUGGAGGCCUGUCUCUGCAAAUGCAUUCAGAAAAUGCUACGUUGCUGCUUUCCUUGGCAAGCUGUCAGUGUCUGGUAGGAUGAAUUCCUGGGAGGAAAAGCACUGCUGAGGAAUUUUAUGCCAGAGAAGGUGAUGAUCCCACUAAGCUGCUCGGUGCUCAUUUGAAGGUACAGAGUAUCCACAUGAAAACCUUGUUCUCCCUAUAAUUUAAUACCUUUCUUACCUAAAAUACUGAAGAAAUAAAAGCUUGAAAGUCAGCAGCAAGUGGGAAAUGUGGGUAUUAUGGAUGUCCCCUACAGACAUUAAGGACAUUUGGCUAGGUCUGUAGCAUACUGUGCUGCCCCUGGGUGAGAAAUGACAGAAAUGGAAGAAGACCUGGACAAUUCACAAGAUAAAGCCUGUCUUGAAACAAGCACACUAAAACAGACUGCCUGUUUUGCCAUAAGCUGUCCUUUAUGACACCCACUCCCACACAUCUCACUUUGCACCCACAUAUAAAGAAUAAUUUAAAAUGAUAAAAAAUAUCUUAAGAAGUGCUCCUACUUCAAACAUUAGCCCAUCAAUGCAGCAUUUCAGAUCCAGUGUUCUCGCUGCACUUCAGCAUUGAUGCACAGCUCAGUCUGGGGAGUGAAUUUCCAGUUCUGAAUUUUACAAAUUUCACAACAGACACACAGAAAUGAUGUGCAAGAAGAGCUCUCAAUGUCUCCAAGGCCAUAUAGUUUAUGAGCACUGUUAAAAGUCUCCUUCUGGUCAGAUCUCAGCAUUUAUGUAGAAAGGUUGUUUUUCUCUCAUUAUGAUAUCAUGGGAAUUUGUCACAUUUUCUUGGGCUCCUGUUUGGCUUCAAUAAUUUUUCAGAAACUUUCCAGUGUGUUGGUAAGCACACUGGAAGUGUACAGUGAUAAAACUUCUUGCUAAAGCGCUCUCUGUUUUCCAGGAAAACAGGGAAGUAUUGGGAGCACUGACUGAGGCUUGGUCCUCUCUUGUCUUCAGUCACUACCACAGAAUAUUUUUCCUUUGACUUGGCACAGGGAGUAGGAGCAGAAAUUACCAUCUCAGUUUUAUUUAUUCCAACAACAUCUUGUAGACAUUUGCUUUUGUGACACCCUUCCAGAUGGGACUGAGCAUGCAGCUAUUUGAGUCCCAGAGCUCUACAGAUGUCCAGAUGGAAGACUAGAGUGCACAGCAAUCAGUGAGUAAUUGGAAAAAAAUAAACACAACUGGGGAAGAGGUUCCAGCAUAAAUAUAUAUGACAGCUCAUGGAGAGAUAACUUGUUGCUAUUAAUCCUGCUGGCUAAUAACAGCAUAAAUUUACCCUGCACAGAGCCUUUCCUCUAAGGUGAAGAACUUGAAAGGAUCACAGAGGAAUUAAUUUAUGAGAACUGAUGGAGUGGAAAGCAUCUCAGCAGAGUCAGCUUGCGUUUGCUGAACUCAGGCUAACAUCACCGAUCGACUUUUUCCACAUACUGAACUGGGCAAAAAAGGAUGAGGUAAAAUUAAUCUGGACUGCAGCAAGAUGUUUUGAUCUGGUUGCAAUCAGAAGAGCCACUGAGAUAAUGGAGAUGAAUUGCUGGCUCAAGAUGAUGAUAUGGUGGAUGGUGAUUAGUUUUCAGAUAGAGUAUUAUCAGGCUGAGUCAUGGUUCAGCUCAGCCAGCACCGUACUACAUAAUCUCCAGUGAUUUUAAGGCAGUGAUUAAUUUGGUCUUGGCCAAAUCUAUUGUUGGAAUUGGGAGCAGCAAUAAAUAUUUUCUUAGAGUUACUGUUAUAUCCAUUAAAAGCAUCUGUGGGGGACUCUGGGUAUUGAUGGAGCAGCAGUUAUGAGCACUAUAUCAAGGAAUGGAAGAGAUGGUGAGUCACAAUUUAUAAAACAAUAUUUUAAGUGUUAGAAAAUUAUUACAAAUAUUGUGAUGGGGGAAAAGCAGUGAAUAAAGGAGGGGAAGAAUACACAUAAAAUGGCCAUUGAAAAGCCAGUUUUCUCCUGGGAUGAAUACAGGGGGACAUAAGCUAUGAUUGUAACAUAGUAAUGUGUAUUCAGCUCGAGCUGAGUACAAAAGGCCACCAAGCAGAGGCACUUGCAGUUUCUCACUGCUUCCAGGAGUGUGAGAGGCUGUGUGUGGGACUGAGUGGAGAAUUCAGGUCAGCAGCAUUCCCAAUUCAGAAAGAAGCUUCAAAGCAAUUCUAAAUGGCCUCAAUUACAUUUAGAAUACCACAAAUUAUGCAUUUUAUGUCCAGUGGAUUUUUUGUAAAUGACAUCACAAAGGGAAAAGUGGUUCCUGAAAUGGAAAUUGAACGUGAAAUGCAGAUUUCCUUAGUCAAGAUGCCAUUGAGCCUCCUUCUCCACAACAAAGGCUCUACUUUGCCUGCCAGCAGCCCCAUUCCACAUAUCCCCAUUCUUUGUCCUCCACUUUAAUGCCCAGGAUAGGAUUUAGAGAAAAGAACAUUACUUUGGAGAUUGAAAUAACUAAUUUGCAUUUGGGUAGGGGAAACAUUCAACAGCUCUGACAUUUUUACUUCUGCACUGAGCUUCAGCUGCUUCUCCCCAGGUAGGGAACAGCCUCUGGAUUCUGUCUUACUAUUUCCCAUGCUAGUCACCAUUCUGGUGUUCAGGAUUCUUGUAGGAGAGCUGAUAACAGCAGCUCAUAAGAGAACUGAUCACCUUAUGAAUGCUCUGUACCAGCCCUACUUUCUUACAACUGGAUUGGUUUGAUGGGGGAAGAAAGAUUUCAGCCCAGAAUUGCUGGCAGUAGCAAAGGUAUGCUGAUUUGCCUCAGUGUGCUCAUUCAGAAAUCAGUCAUUCCAGUCCCAGUCCAGACCUGCUGGGACUGGAAUAACAAGCUUUGUUGUUCAGUGUUUUCUUGAUUUUUCCUUUAUACAUACAAAAUUUUGUAUUCCCAUAACUCUAACAGGAUGUGUUUUUACUUUUUCCUGACACCUCUUCCUGGCAGGAAGCUGGAUCAGCCUCUCUGUAUUUAAUGUAAAUAGAUAUAAACUAGUCAAGACAGUGACUUUGGACAAUAUUUUGCCAUUAUUUAUUUCACAGAGUUUUCUUCUCAACAGUAGGUACUAUUUGCAGAGUAUUUUCCCCUGCUUUUUUAGUGUCUAUUCUCUGGGAAAAUGAAGAAAAAUGAUAACAUAUUUGGGAGUGUCAGCCAUCCUGACAAAACAAGACAAAGAAACCAAGUUGGCUUUAUUUUAGCAAAUAAACCAUAUGCCUUAUAUCAGUGGGAGAUGUGCCCCAUUGAGAGGAAAUAAUCACCUCUGAUUUUGUGGAGAUCUUUGCCAGGCUGUGGGCUUGGCUUCUGAUCUGCACACAGAACAUAUAUUAAUGAUCACAGGUUUGUUGGAAUUAUUCCUCUAUGCUUAUGCUGACAGAGGCCAAAGUAGAUGGGAAAAAGAAGAAAUAAUGUUUUAGCCUUACUUCCACAGAAGGGACCUAUAUCAUAGCAUACCAUAAUAUCAAUGCAAUGAUAUAAACACAAUAUUACAAGGUCGUGGUCCAAACACAGUGGUGUUCACAUUUCUGGAUACAGUUUCAAGAGAAACAUUCCCUUUUCCUGCCCAUUGGAACAGACAGUGCAGGUAUUCUGACCCAUAAACAUUUGUGCACAGGUUCAACUUCUGCUGCUAAUAGUAAUCAAACCCUGCCACUGACCUCAUUGCAUAUUUAAAGUUGAGCAUAAGACCUAAGAGCUCUCAGGGCCAGAAAUAUGAAUCAGGGUUUACAUGGAGAGAACUGAGGUCCAGAGGGAUGCAGUUGCCAGGAAGUGGCUAUAUAUCAGAAGAAAAAUUGAAUUUAGACCUCUGAGAUCCAACUAAAUCACAAGAGCACAUUUCCUCUAUUUAAUCAUUAGAUAAAAAGUGAGAUUGAAGAAAAUCUUCAAUUUGUUUGGAAACCUUUCUGCCUCCAUUUUGGGAUCAGAUUUCAAAAACUAUCAAAUUCAGAAGGGUGAGUUCUCACAGAAAGUGCCAGUGAGAGACUGUGAUUUCCCAUUUGCUUGUUGCUGUUUUUUUUCCUCUCCCCUAACAAGAAUUCCUAAAAUAAUCUAAAGUAUCUGUUGUUUAUAUCUGAAGAAGACAACAGUUUAAAAUAUGCAUACCUGCUUCUAGUGAGUUGAAAGCACAAUGUAACUACGAUUUUAUUACCAUAUCUUUUGUUCUCUGGGUUUCUGUUUCAAGGGUUUGAUCAAAAUUAAUGUGGUCUCUCUACCCAAUGGCAUUUAUUUUGGUUAUAAGAUUAGAAAUGUAAAUUUGCAAUAAAAGAAGAAAAUAGGAAGCUGUUUUAAUGAAUAUUUUACACAUGACUAAUUAACAGAAUCCCCUACAGGAAUUUGGAAGUAAUAAGGAAUUGACUGAAAAUAAAUUAAAAAUUAAUAAAGGGGUCUCCAAACAACUUUGUUUAUGAGCAUUACCAGUUGCAUUCUCAGUUAUGAAUAUUUCAAGCUGCUUUACUAUUCAGGAUGUUUUAUUCUUGGAGUGUUCAUAAUUUUAGAGGUGAUUAGACAAAAAAAGAAGAACAACACAAAACAAAAUGUCUUGAAAUGAUAAAGCCUACCUGGGGAAAACUUGCUAAUGCACAAAUAAUGGCUUAAUAUCCAUUGUUUUUGUCUAAUAAUACCUGUGGUAUGAUGUUCCUCUUAAUCCUCAUCUUCUAAAUGGAAAGAACAGAAAUGCUGGCUAAUUCAUUGAGAAAAAUGAGAGACUUUUCCCAGAUAUUGUCUUGAGAGAGGAGCUGCAGUGCUGAGCUGUGCACAGCCAUUGGUGCUGUAGCUGAGCCUGCAGAGGCUCUGCCUGGGCUUGGGCUGCUGCAGGUGGGGACACCCAGCUGGGGUGGGACCUGCACAGGUGCACUCUGCUGCUGGCACAAAGCAGGAGCUCCACCCUGCUACUCUGCUCCCUUGGCCUCAGCUAAACUGUACAACAAAGCACUUUGCAAGGUAAUGGCACAAAAAAUAUACCUUUAUGUGCUUAUGCUCUAUCUUCAUUUAUAUCAGUAUAGCACAAAUAUUAUCUAGGAAGGGAGAGGGAGAAACUCACAAAUGCCACCUGUUCUCAGAUGCCUAAUGUAAUGUUUUAGUUAGGUUAAAAUCUUUGAAAUAAAAGUGAUUUAAAUUCUCUGGUGUUGCCUUUGAUACAAAAACUGAUCUAAAAAAUUUCUCAGAGAACUUAGGCUAAACCAUCCAACACCUUUAGCUGAGGAAGGUCAGAACAUAAGCCUGAAGAAUAGAAAAGAAAAGGAAAUAAAUGACCACUUCUAAAUAAAUAAAUAGAUCCCCUUCACUGUUAGAUGAUCUGAGGUGAUCCAAUCAAUCUAGGUAUCCUAAUAUCAAAGAUAAAUUACAGCAAAACUAGAAUAAAAACAGAAAACACUGACUGAGGGUUUCUGGUUGUUUUGUUUUGUUGGGUU